rnacentral:rRNA from 1 species
ACACAUGCAAGUCGAGCGGUAGAGAGAAGCUUGCUUCUCUUGAGAGCGGCGGACGGGUGAGUAAUGCCUAGGAAUCUGCCUGGUAGUGGGGGAUAACGUUCGGAAACGGACGCUAAUACCGCAUACGUCCUACGGGAGAAAGCAGGGGACCUUCGGGCCUUGCGCUAUCAGAUGAGCCUAGGUCGGAUUAGCUAGUUGGUGGGGUAAUGGCUCACCAAGGCGACGAUCCGUAACUGGUCUGAGAGGAUGAUCAGUCACACUGGAACUGAGACACGGUCCAGACUCCUACGGGAGGCAGCAGUGGGGAAUAUUGGACAAUGGGCGAAAGCCUGAUCCAGCCAUGCCGCGUGUGUGAAGAAGGUCUUCGGAUUGUAAAGCACUUUAAGUUGGGAGGAAGGGUUGUAGAUUAAUACUCUGCAAUUUUGACGUUACCGACAGAAUAAGCACCGGCUAACUCUGUGCCAGCAGCCGCGGUAAUACAGAGGGUGCAAGCGUUAAUCGGAAUUACUGGGCGUAAAGCGCGCGUAGGUGGUUUGUUAAGUUGGAUGUGAAAUCCCCGGGCUCAACCUGGGAACUGCAUUCAAAACUGACUGACUAGAGUAUGGUAGAGGGUGGUGGAAUUUCCUGUGUAGCGGUGAAAUGCGUAGAUAUAGGAAGGAACACCAGUGGCGAAGGCGACCACCUGGACUAAUACUGACACUGAGGUGCGAAAGCGUGGGGACAAACAGAUUAGAUACCCUGGUAGUCCAGCCGUAAAUGUCARCUAGCCGUUGGAAGCCUUGAGCUUUUAGUGGCGCAGCUAACGCAUUAAGUUGACCGCCUGGGGAGUACGGCCGCAAGGUUAAAACUCAAAUGAAUUGACGGGGGCCCGCACAAGCGGUGGAGCAUGUGGUUUAAUUCGAAGCAACGCGAAGAACCUUACCAGGCCUUGACAUCCAAUGAACUUUCCAGAGAUGGAUUGGUGCCUUCGGGAACAUUGAGACAGGUGCUGCAUGGCUGUCGUCAGCUCGUGUCGUGAGAUGUUGGGUUAAGUCCCGUAACGAGCGCAACCCUUGUCCUUAGUUACCAGCACGUAAUGGUGGGCACUCUAAGGAGACUGCCGGUGACAAACCGGAGGAAGGUGGGGAUGACGUCAAGUCAUCAUGGCCCUUACGGCCUGGGCUACACACGUGCUACAAUGGUCGGUACAGAGGGUUGCCAAGCCGCGAGGUGGAGCUAAUCCCAUAAAACCGAUCGUAGUCCGGAUCGCAGUCUGCAACUCGACUGCGUGAAGUCGGAAUCGCUAGUAAUCGCGAAUCAGAAUGUCGCGGUGAAUACGUUCCCGGGCCUUGUACACACCGCCCGUCACACCAUGGGAGUGGGUUGCACCAGAAGUAGCUAGUCUAACCUUCGGGAGGACGGUUACCACGGUGUGAUUCAUGACUGGGGUGAAGUCGUAACA